rnacentral:rRNA from 1 species
UACGGAGGGGGCAAGCGUUGUUCGGAAUUACUGGGCGUAAAGGGCGCGCAGGCGGCUGCUCAAGUCAGGCGUGAAAGGCCUGGGCUCAACCCGGGAAUUGCGCUUGAGACUGGGCUGGCUUGAGUGCGGGAGAGGAUGGUGGAAUUCCCAGUGUAGAGGUGAAAUUCGUAGAUAUUGGGAGGAACACCGGUGGCGAAGGCGGCCAUCUGGAUCAACACUGACGCUGAGGCACGAAAGCGUGGGGAGCAAACAGG